rnacentral:rRNA from 1 species
AGCAGCCGCGGUAAUUCCAGCUCCAAUAGCGUAUAUUAAAGUUGUUGCAGUUAAAAAGCUCGUAGUUGAAUUUCGGGAUCAGUAGGUCGGUCAUGCCUAUGGUAUGUACUGGUUUUACUGAUUCCUCCUUCUUGAUGAUCUGUAAUGUCAUUAAUUUGGUGUUGCAGGGAGUCAGGACUGUUACUUUGAAAAAAUUAGAGUGUUUAAAGCAGGCAUACGCUUGAAUACAUUAGCAUGGAAUAAUGAAAUAGGACGUUCGAUCCUAUUUUGUUGGUUUCUAGGAUUGACGUAAUGAUUAAUAGGGAUAGUUGGGGGCAUUAGUAUUCAAUUGCCAGAGGUGAAAUUCUUGGAUUUAUUGAAGACUAACUACUGCGAAAGCAUUUGCCAAGGAUGUUUUCAUUAAUCAAGAACGAAAGUUAGGGGAUCGAAGACGAUCAGAUACCGUCGUAGUCUUAACCAUAAACUAUGCCGACUAGGGAUCGGAUGAUGUUAUUUUUAAUGACUCA